AUGGCUGAUGUAGGAAUGAACAUGAUACUCACCUGCUCACCAAAUAUAAGGUUAAAUAUUUGUAAAGAACCACUGAAGCAAACCACAUUCUUUUUAGAAUUCUUCCAUAAAGCAUCUCACUGCUGUUGUAACUUUUCUGAUCAGAGAUACAAUUACAACCAUGAACCACUCAGGGCACUGCUGGAUCUUUAUUCACAUGUGAAGAACUAUGAGUCUCAAACAGGCAGGAGUUUCCUUCCAGCAUUACAGUCAGUUUUCCAGUCAGCACCUGAUGUCUGGAUCAUAGAUCUCUCACAGAGAAUGACCUCUCUCCUUCUGGAAGUGCUGAAACUCCAAACAGAGAAGAAACCAGUAGAACUGAGAGGAUGUACAGAAGAAGAAAGUGAAAUGAUGAGUUUCCUUCAGUGUCUGCCCUACAUCUCACAGCUGAGAUUAAAUAUUUGUAAAGAACCACUGAAGCAAACCACAUUCUUUUUAGAAUUCUUCCAUAAAGCAUCUCACUGCUGUUGUAACUUUUCUGAUCAGAGAUACAAUUACAACCAUGAACCACUCAGGGCACUGCUGGAUCUUUAUUCACAUGUGAAGAACUAUGAGUCUCAAACAGGCAGGAGUUUCCUUCCAGCAUUACAGUCAGUUUUCCAGUCAGCACCUGAUGUCUGGAUCAUAGAUCUCUCACAGAGAAAGACCUCUCUCCUUCUGGAAGUGCUGAAACUCCAAACAGAGAAGAAACCAGUUUAUCUGAAAGGAUUUUCAGAGGAAGAGACUGAAAUGAAGAGUUUCCUUCAGUGUCUGCAAUACAUCUCAGAGCUGGGAUUCUCUAAUCUGAAUGAAAGUGUUCAAAACAGAUAUCUUCUGAAACUCUUCAUUAAUGCAGCAGAGAUUGAGAAACAGACAGGAGAGCAGAUGCUGAAACUGUUAACAUCAGUCUGCAUCUACAGCUCUUUUAAUUAUAAAAUAAUUAAACAGAGUAAUUUCCUGCUGGAUCUCUGCUCACAUGUGAAGAACUAUGAGACUCAAACAGGCAGGAGUUUCCUUCCAGCAUUACAAUCAGUUUUCCAGUCAGCACCUGAUGUCUGGAUCAUAGAUCUCUCACAGAGAAAGAUCUCCAUCCUCCUGGAAGUGUUGAAACUCCAAACAGAGAAGAAACCAGUAGAGCUGAGAGGGUGUUCUGAGAAAGAGAGUGAAAUAAAGAGUUUUCUUCAGUGUCUGCCCUACAUCUCACAGAUGAGGUUUGGGGACCUUUAUAAUCAAGAAAGAAGGAUGUCUGCAGUAAGAUUCCUGCUGAAUCUCAGUGUUGCUACAGUAGAAAGUGACACAGAUACAGGAACAAGAUUCUCAACUCUGUCAUCUAUGUGCAGCUACAAAACCUUCCCUUUUGAGUUUGAUCAGUAUAAUGAUUUUGAUCAGAGUGAUUUCCUGCUGGAUCUUUGCUCAUGUGUGAAGAACUAUGAGACUCAAACAGGCAGGAGUUUCCUUCCAGCAUUCCAGUCAGUAUUCCAGUCACCUGAUGUCUGGAUCAUAGAUCUCUCACAGAGAAUGAUCUCCAUCCUCCUGGAAGUACUGAAACUCCAAACAGAGAAGAAACCAGUAGAGUUGAGAGGAUGUUCAGAGGAAGAAACUGAAGUGAUGAGUUUCCUUCAGUGUCUGCCCUACAUCUCACAGCUGAGGUUUGAUCAUUGGAACAACAAUCAUGCAGUGCAGUUUGUUCUGAAAGUCUUCAUUAAAGCAGCAGAAACUGAGACACAGACAGAAGAGCAGAUGCUGAAACUGCUAACAACAGUCUGCACCUACAGCUCUUUCCCAUAUCAGUGGUCUGACAGAAUUAAACAGAGUGAUUUCUUGCUGGAUCUAUACUCACAUGUGAAGAACUAUGAGACUCAAACAGGCAGAAGUUUGCUUCCAGCAUUACAAUCAGUUUUCCAGUCAGCACCUGAUGUCUGGUCCAUAGAUCUCUCACAGAGAAAAAACUCCUCUCUCCUGGAAGUACUGAAACUCCAAACAGAGAAGAAACGAGUAGAACUGAGAGGAUGUUCAGAGGAAGAGAGUGAAGUGAUGAGUUUCCUUCAGUGUCUGCCCUAUAUCUCACAGCUGAGUUGUUCUGAGCUGUGUUUGUUAACACUAGUUAAAGUGGUCCAGUACAGAGAGAAUCCAGAGUUGGUGACUUUACUGUUGGAGGUUCUUGGCUUCUCCCUCAGUCUGGAAGGACAUUUACCCAGUAAAACCUGCAGGUCUGUGGGGAGAUUCUUACGUUUCUCUUCUGACAGACUCAACCUCACUCUAAAACCUAAAGCCGUCUCUCUAAGAGGAACAAGGCUUCUUUUCAGACACAUCAAAAACAUACACACACUNGCAGUUUUUGACUUUAUAUUUAUCAUGGCAUAG
ensembl:lncRNA